rnacentral:rRNA from 1 species
CCGGCGAUUUCCGAAUGGGGAAACCCAGUGUGUUUCGACACACUAUCAUUAACUGAAUCCAUAGGUUAAUGAGGCGAACCGGGGGAACUGAAACAUCUAAGUACCCCGAGGAAAAGAAAUCAACCGAGAUUCCCCCAGUAGCGGCGAGCGAACGGGGAGGAGCCCAGAGCCUGAAUCAGUGUGUGUGUUAGUGGAAGCGUCUGGAAAGGCGCGCGAUACAGGGUGACAGCCCCGUACACAAAAAUGCACAUAUUGUGAGCUCGAUGAGUAGGGCGGGACACGUGGUAUCCUGUCUGAAUAUGGGGGGACCAUCCUCCAAGGCUAAAUACUCCUGACUGACCGAUAGUGAACCAGUACCGUGAGGGAAAGGCGAAAAGAACCCCGGCGAGGGGAGUGAAAAAGAACCUGAAACCGUGUACGUACAAGCAGUGGGAGCCUCUUUAUGGGGUGACUGCGUACCUUUUGUAUAAUGGGUCAGCGACUUAUAUUCUGUAGCAAGGUUAACCGAAUAGGGGAGCCGAAGGGAAACCGAGUCUUAACUGGGCGUUAAGUUGCAGGGUAUAGACCCGAAACCCGGUGAUCUAGCCAUGGGCAGGUUGAAGGUUGGGUAACACUAACUGGAGGACCGAACCGACUAAUGUUGAAAAAUUAGCGGAUGACUUGUGGCUGGGGGUGAAAGGCCAAUCAAACCGGGAGAUAGCUGGUUCUCCCCGAAAGCUAUUUAGGUAGCGCCUCGUGAAUUCAUCUCCGGGGGUAGAGCACUGUUUCGGCAAGGGGGUCAUCCCGACUUACCAACCCGAUGCAAACUGCGAAUACCGGAGAAUGUUAUCACGGGAGACACACGGCGGGUGCUAACGUCCGUCGUGAAGAGGGAAACAACCCAGACCGCCAGCUAAGGUCCCAAAGUCAUGGUUAAGUGGGAAACGAUGUGGGAAGGCCCAGACAGCCAGGAUGUUGGCUUAGAAGCAGCCAUCAUUUAAAGAAAGCGUAAUAGCUCACUGGUCGAGUCGGCCUGCGCGGAAGAUGUAACGGGGCUAAACCAUGCACCGAAGCUGCGGCAGCGACACUAUGUGUUGUUGGGUAGGGGAGCGUUCUGUAAGCCUGUGAAGGUGGCCUGUGAGGGUUGCUGGAGGUAUCAGAAGUGCGAAUGCUGACAUAAGUAACGAUAAAGCGGGUGAAAAGCCCGCUCGCCGGAAGACCAAGGGUUCCUGUCCAACGUUAAUCGGGGCAGGGUGAGUCGACCCCUAAGGCGAGGCCGAAAGGCGUAGUCGAUGGGAAACAGGUUAAUAUUCCUGUACUUGGUGUUACUGCGAAGGGGGGACGGAGAAGGCUAUGUUGGCCGGGCGACGGUUGUCCCGGUUUAAGCGUGUAGGCUGGUUUUCCAGGCAAAUCCGGAAAACCAAGGCUGAGGCGUGAUGACGAGGCACUACGGUGCUGAAGCGACAAAUGCCCUGCUUCCAGGAAAAGCCUCUAAGCAUCAGGUAACAUCAAAUCGUACCCCAAACCGACACAGGUGGUCAGGUAGAGAAUACCAAGGCGCUUGAGAGAACUCGGGUGAAGGAACUAGGCAAAAUGGUGCCGUAACUUCGGGAGAAGGCACGCUGAUAUGUAGGUGAAGCGACUUGCUCGUGGAGCUGAAAUCAGUCGAAGAUACCAGCUGGCUGCAACUGUUUAUUAAAAACACAGCACUGUGCAAACACGAAAGUGGACGUAUACGGUGUGACGCCUGCCCGGUGCCGGAAGGUUAAUUGAUGGGGUUAGCGGUAACGCGAAGCUCUUGAUCGAAGCCCCGGUAAACGGCGGCCGUAACUAUAACGGUCCUAAGGUAGCGAAAUUCCUUGUCGGGUAAGUUCCGACCUGCACGAAUGGCGUAAUGAUGGCCAGGCUGUCUCCACCCGAGACUCAGUGAAAUUGAACUCGCUGUGAAGAUGCAGUGUACCCGCGGCAAGACGGAAAGACCCCGUGAACCUUUACUAUAGCUUGACACUGAACAUUGAGCCUUGAUGUGUAGGAUAGGUGGGAGGCUUUGAAGUGUGGACGCCAGUCUGCAUGGAGCCGACCUUGAAAUACCACCCUUUAAUGUUUGAUGUUCUAACGUUGGCCCGUAAUCCGGGUUGCGGACAGUGUCUGGUGGGUAGUUUGACUGGGGCGGUCUCCUCCUAAAGAGUAACGGAGGAGCACGAAGGUUGGCUAAUCCUGGUCGGACAUCAGGAGGUUAGUGCAAUGGCAUAAGCCAGCUUGACUGCGAGCGUGACGGCGCGAGCAGGUGCGAAAGCAGGUCAUAGUGAUCCGGUGGUUCUGAAUGGAAGGGCCAUCGCUCAACGGAUAAAAGGUACUCCGGGGAUAACAGGCUGAUACCGCCCAAGAGUUCAUAUCGACGGCGGUGUUUGGCACCUCGAUGUCGGCUCAUCACAUCCUGGGGCUGAAGUAGGUCCCAAGGGUAUGGCUGUUCGCCAUUUAAAGUGGUACGCGAGCUGGGUUUAGAACGUCGUGAGACAGUUCGGUCCCUAUCUGCCGUGGGCGCUGGAGAACUGAGGGGGGCUGCUCCUAGUACGAGAGGACCGGAGUGGACGCAUCACUGGUGUUCGGGUUGUCAUGCCAAUGGCACUGCCCGGUAGCUAAAUGCGGAAGAGAUAAGUGCUGAAAGCAUCUAAGCACGAAACUUGCCCCGAGAUGAGUUCUCCCUGACUCCUUGAGAGUCCUGAAGGAACGUUGAAGACGACGACGUUGAUAGGCCGGGUGUGUAAGCGCAGCGAUGCGUUGAGCUAACCGGUACUAAUGAACCGUGAGGCUUAACCUU